AUUGAACGCUGGCGGAAUGCUUUACACAUGCAAGUCGAACGGUAACAGGUUAAGCUGACGAGUGGCGAACGGGUGAGUAAUACAUCGGAACGUGCCCGGGCGUGGGGGAUAACGUAGAGAAAUUUACGCUAAUACCGCAUACGAUCUAAGGAUGAAAGCGGGGGACCGUAAGGCCUCGCGCGAUUGGAGCGGCCGAUGUCAGAUUAGGUAGUUGGUGGGGUAAAGGCCUACCAAGCCGACGAUCUGUAGCGGGUCUGAGAGGACGACCAGCCGCACUGGGACUGAGACACGGCCCAGACUCCUACGGGAGGCAGCAGUGGGGAAUUUUGGACAAUGGGCGCAAGCCUGAUCCAGCCAUUCCGCGUGCAGGAUGAAGGCCCUCGGGUUGUAAACUGCUUUUGUACAGAACGAAAAGGUCUGGGUUAAUACCCUGGGCUCAUGACGGUACUGUAAGAAUAAGCACCGGCUAACUACGUGCCAGCCGCCGCGGUAA
rnacentral:rRNA from 1 species